rnacentral:rRNA from 1 species
AUGAACGCUGGCGGCGUGCUUAACACAUGCAAGUCGAACGGGAAACCUUUUAAUGAAGCUUCGGCAGAUUUAGCUGGUUUCUAGUGGCGGACGGGUGAGUAACGCGUGGGUAACCUGCCUUAUACAGGGGGAUAACAGUCAGAAAUGACUGCUAAUACCGCAUAAGCGCACAGGACCGCAUGGUCCGGUGUGAAAAACUCCGGUGGUAUAAGAUGGACCCGCGUUGGAUUAGCUUGUUGGUGGGGUAACGGCUCACCAAGGCGACGAUCCAUAGCCGGCCUGAGAGGGUGAACGGCCACAUUGGGACUGAGACACGGCCCAGACUCCUACGGGAGGCAGCAGUGGGGAAUAUUGCACAAUGGGGGAAACCCUGAUGCAGCGACGCCGCGUGAAGGAAGAAGUAUCUCGGUAUGUAAACUUCUAUCAGCAGGGAAGAUAGUGACGGUACCUGACUAAGAAGCCCCGGCUAACUACGUG